rnacentral:rRNA from 1 species
AGGGCGCACGGUGGAUGCCUUGGCACCAGGAGCCGAUGAAGGACGUGGUAGGCCGCGAUAGGCCUGGGGGAGCUGCCAAACUAGCUGUGAUCCCAGGGUGUCCGAAUGGGGAAACCUGGCACGAGUCAUGUCGUGUCAUCCAUGCCUGAAUUCAUAGGGUGUGUGAGGGGAACGCGGGGAAGUGAAACAUCUCAGUACCCGCAGGAAGAGAAAACAACCGUGAUUCCGGGAGUAGUGGCGAGCGAAACCGGAUGAGGCCAAACCGUAUACGUGUGAGACCCGGCAGGGGUUGCGUGUACGGGGUUGUGGGAUCUCUCUUUCACAGUCUGCCGGCUGUGAGACGAGUCAGAAACCGUUGAUGUAGACGAAGGACAUGCGAAAGGUCCGGCGUAGAGGGUAAGACCCCCGUAGUCGAAACGUCAGCGGCUCGUUUGAGAGACACCCAAGUAGCACGGGGCCCGAGAAAUCCCGUGUGAAUCUGGCGGGACCACCCGCUAAGCCUAAAUAUUCCCUGGUGACCGAUAGCGGAUAGUACCGUGAGGGAAUGGUGAAAAGUACCGCGGGAGCGGAGUGAAAUAGUACCUGAAACCGUGUGCCUACAAGCCGUGGGAGCGUCGCGUUGCAUGCUUGCAUGCAACGUCGUGACUGCGUGCCUUUUGAAGAAUGAGCCUGCGAGUUUGCGGUGUGUUGCGAGGUUAACCCGUGUGGGGAAGCCGUAGCGAAAGCGAGUCCGAAUAGGGCGAUUCAGUAGCGCGCUCAAGACCCGAAGCGGAGUGAUCUAGCCAUGGGCAGGUUGAAGCGGAGGUAAGACUUCGUGGAGGACCGAACCCACCAGGGUUGAAAACCUGGGGGAUGACCUGUGGUUAGGGGUGAAAGGCCAAUCAAACUCCGUGAUAGCUGGUUCUCCCCGAAAUGCAUUUAGGUGCAGCGUCGUGUGUUUCUUGCCGGAGGUAGAGCACUGGAUAGGCGAUGGGCCCUACCGGGUUACUGACCUUAGCCAAACUCCGAAUGCCGGUAAGUGAGAGCACGGCAGUGAGACUGUGGGGGAUAAGCUCCAUGGUCGAGAGGGAAACAGCCCAGAGCAUCGACUAAGGCCCCUAAGCGUACGCUAAGUGGGAAAGGAUGUGGAGUCGCAGAGACAACCAGGAGGUUGGCUUAGAAGCAGCCACCCUUUAAAGAAAGCGUAAUAGCUCACUGAUCGAGUCGUCCUGCGCGGAAGAUGUAACGGGGCUCAAACCAUACACCGAAGCUGCGGAUGUGCAAUUUAUUGCACGUGGUAGGGGAGCGUUCUGUAAGCCUGCGAAGGUGUCUCGAGAGGGAUGCUGGAGGUAUCACAAGUGCGAAUGCUGACAUGAGUAGCGAUAAAGGGGGUGAAAGGCCCCCUCGCCGAAAGCCCAAGGUUUCCUACGCAACGUUCAUCGGCGUAGGGUGAGUCGGCCCCUAAGGCGAGGCAGAGAUGCGUAGCUGAUGGGAAGCAGGUUAAUAUUCCUGCACCGUCGUAUGAUGCGAUGGGGGGACGGAUCGCGGAAGGUUGUCCGGGUGUUGGAUGUCCCGGUUUCUGUAUCAGAGAAGGCUGUUAGGCAAAUCCGGCAGCGUAAUUCAAGGGUAUGGGACGAGCGAACUUGUUCGCGAAGCAAUCGGAAGUGGUUCCAAGAAAAGCCUCUAAGCUUCAGUCAUACGAGACCGUACCGCAAACCGACACAGGUGGGCGAGAUGAGUAUUCUAAGGCGCUUGAGAGAACUCGGGAGAAGGAACUCGGCAAAUUGGUACCGUAACUUCGGGAAAAGGUACGCCUCGGUAGCUUGACCACUUUACUGUGGAAGGGCGAAAAGGUUGCAAUAAACUGGUGGCUGCGACUGUUUAAUAAAAACACAGCACUCUGCAAACACGAAAGUGGACGUAUAGGGUGUGACGCCUGCCCGGUGCUGGAAGAUUAAAUGAUGGGGUGCAAGCUCUUGAUUGAAGUCCCAGUAAACGGCGGCCGUAACAAUAACGGUCCUAAGGUAGCGAAAUUCCUUGUCGGGUAAGUUCCGACCUGCACGAAUGGCGUAACGAUGGCCACACUGUCUCCUCCCGAGACUCAGCGAAGUUGAAGUGUUUGUGAUGAUGCAAUCUACCCGCGGCUAGACGGAAAGACCCCAUGAACCUUUACUGUAGCUUUGCAUUGGACUUUGAAUCAAUCUGUGUAGGAUAGGUGGGAGGCUUUGAAGCGUGGACGCUAGUCUGCGUGGAGCCAACCUUGAAAUACCACCCUGGCAACUUUGAGGUUCUAACCUGGGUCCAUUAUCUGGAUCGGGGACCGUGUAUGGUGGGUAGUUUGACUGGGGCGGUCUCCUCCUAAAGAGUAACGGAGGAGCUCGAAGGUACGCUCAGCGCGGUCGGACAUCGCGCACUGUGUGCAAAGGCAUAAGCGUGCUUGACUGCAAGAUCGACGGAUCAAGCAGGUACGAAAGUAGGUCUUAGUGAUCCGGUGGUUCUGUAUGGAAGGGCCAUCGCUCAACGGAUAAAAGGUACUCCGGGGAUAACAGGCUGAUACCGCCCAAGAGUUCAUAUCGACGGCGGUGUUUGGCACCUCGAUGUCGGCUCAUCACAUCCUGGGGCUGAAGCCGGUCCCAAGGGUAUGGCUGUUCGCCAUUUAAAGUGGUACGCGAGCUGGGUUUAGAACGUCGUGAGACAGUUCGGUCCCUAUCUGCCGUGGGCGCUGGAGAAUUGAGGGGGGUUGCUCCUAGUACGAGAGGACCGGAGUGGACGAACCUCUGGUGUUCCGGUUGUCACGCCAGUGGCAUUGCCGGGUAGCUAUGUUCGGAAGAGAUAACCGCUGAAAGCAUCUAAGCGGGAAACUCGCCUCAAGAUGAGAUCUCCCGGGAACUAGAUUCCCCUAAAGGGUCGUUCGAGACUACGACGUUGA